rnacentral:rRNA from 1 species
GACGAACGCUGGCGGCAGGCCUAACACAUGCAAGUCGAACGAGUGGCGGACGGGUGAGUAAUGUCUGGGAAACUGCCUGAGGGAGGGGGAUAACUCCUGGAAACGGUAGCUAAUACCGCAUCCCAUAAGAUGUGCCCAGAUGGGAUUAGCUAGUUGGUGGGGUAACGGCUCACCAAGGCGACGAUCCCUAGCUGGUCUGAGAGGAUAACCAGCCACACUGUAACUGAGACACGGUCCAGACUCCUACGGGAGGCAGCAGUGGGGAAUAUUGCACAAGGGGCGCAAGCCUGAUACAGCCAUGCCGCGUGUAUGAAGAAGGCCUUCGGGUUUUAAAGUACUUUCAGCGGGGAGGCGUUACCCGCAGAAGAAGCACCGGCUAACUCCGUGCCAGCAGCCGCGGUAAUUC